CCUUCGGGUGGCAGCAGUGGGGAAUAUUGCACAAUGGGGGGGACACUGAUGCAGCGACGCCGCGUGGGUGAAGGAGUAUUUCGGUAUGUAAAGCCCUAUCAGCAGGGAAGAACAAUGACGGUACCUGACUAAGAAGCACCGGCUAAAUACGUGCCAGCAGCCGCGGUAAUACGUAUGGUGCAAGCGUUAUCCGGAUUUACUGGGUGUAAAGGGAGCGCAGGCGGCGCGUUAAGCCGGGUGUGACAGUCCGCGGCCCAACCGCGGGACUGCAUUGGGAACUGGCGCGCUGGAGUGCAGGAGGGGUAGGCGGAAUGCCGAGUGUAGCGGUGAAAUGCACAGAGAUGCGGAGGAACACCAGUGGCGAAGGCGGACGGCUGGACAAUAACUGACGCUGAGGCGCGAAAGCGUGGUGAGGAAACAGGAUUAGAUACCUUUGUAGU
rnacentral:rRNA from 1 species